AAUUUGUAGGGUUUACUUACUUAUAGUUGUUUGCCUUGCCUUUGCCUUUUAAUUGCUAAUUGUUGUGUUGCUUUUAAAGUACCUUACCUUUUUAACUGUAAUGCUGAUUUCAUACUUUAAAAGUCUUAUAGUCUUGCUGUACAUGCCCAUCCUACUAUGCUGGAACAUUAUUUAUUUUGUUGUCUCAACCAUCCUCUAACAAGCCUUUAACUAACCAGUGUGCUUAUCUUGAUCAUGAUUGUAGAACCACCAAGCAGGCAACACUUGCAUUAUACUUUCCUUUUUUUGGCUCUUUCUGCGGUUGUUAGCAUCUAAAAUUAAAUGAUGAUUCUUCUAUCCAUUUUUCGGUAAUUUUGAUAAAACGGAACAAACUAUCUACAUAGUAAGUAGAUUGUACUGGGAGGCAGUAUAUGACAGACUGAAGCUGUACAUGUUCUGUUUUUUUUUCCGGGAAGUUUGACAUCAUCUGAUAUUGCUUUAGUGUCUUCUGUAUGGGUUGCUUGAACUCUGUAAAUAAUAUUAGAAACUCUUAUUCUUGUUCUAGUUUUUAUCUUGGGGUCAUCGAUCAGCUAUGUACUCUAUUUUUGUUGGAUGUGAAUGUGACUUCUUUAGCAGAUGAACACGUGGGCACACCCUGCCAUUAAAUGCAGCAAACAUCUGAAAUUUUCCCUAGAUACAGAAAUUAAGAGAUCCUUUUUAUUAAACUUUCUUCAGUUCAUAAUCACUAAUUUUGAAUACCAAUGAUCAACUGAAAGUACAGGGAGAAGAAACCAGAGAACUUUUACGAUACAGUAAAAGCAUUUCAGUUAUAAGUUCUCUGAUCAGACCGGUGGGUGAUUUUAGGAGGCCCUUGAUAGUGCAUAGACAAUUGAAUGAAGAACAUUAGUUGCUAUCCUGCACUUUAUUUGUCCCCUCCUCGGUAUAAAUCUUUUACUUCUGUAAGUUCCUGCAGUAAGUUUUCCAGUCCAUGGUUGGUGAUUGGAGGUCUUUGAUAGUGCAUAUGCAAUUGAAUGCAGAGCAUUAGUUGCUAUCCUCAUCUUUAUUUGUCCUCUCUUAGGUGGAGACCUUCUACUUCUUAAACAUUCUGCUGGUACUACUGCAGAGACAUUAGUCAUCCUGCUUCGAAUAACCACCUUUCUAUGCCAAUAUAGUGCACUGUUAUUGAAGAUUCGGAGAGAACAAUGGCUUUACUACAGGGGUUUAUAUACACAGGGUUUCAGCCGUCCGUGUGGGGGGAGUUGAUGAGGAUGAAGCGAUAAUACCUAAUGGAUCCGAUGGCACAAUUUGGUACAAUUUCAUUUUUUAAGAAUCUUGACAGCUAAUAUUGAAAAAAGAUAAUGCAAUCAGGAGCAACUUGCAUCUGUGUGCUGUUUUUUAUUGCUGGACUGGCUAUCCUUGGUUCCAAGAGUUGAGCGCUGCAUUUUCUUCCAUCUUUGUGUUCUUCUGAGCCAUGUGCUACUGCAGGAAUUCAAGAUUGUACCUCGCUAUAAAAGAGCACUGGAAUAACAAGAAGUCCAGAUAGAAUGAAAAGAGAUCACAGCUAUCUUUUCUCCAACUGAGAUAACAACUAUCAAUUACGCUAUGAAUCAUAUACAGAUAAGUUCAAAAAUCAGAAAACAACUUUUCCGGUAGAGUGAUAGUGAUCUGAAGAGGCCCUCGAGAGAACAGAACAAAUAGAGUGAAGAGCACUUGCUGCUAUUAUUGACUUUAUCUGGCCCCUUCUCGGUAAAGGCCCUCUGCUACUUGCGGAACUCUUUGCACUUGCUGCUUUCCUCAUCUUGCUUUCCAUUUUCUUCUUUUUCUUUUUUCCGAAAACUAGUAUCUGAGACCUGGUUGUUCUUUUGCUGUAAUAUUGCUUUGAUGAUGAGAAUGGCUUGUUUUGCUCCUUCUCUAAUAGGGGGUUUAUAUAGCACAGCAGAAUACCAGUGGCUGGAAAGUUGUUAAUAUAAAACAAGAAUAAAUUAUUUCAAGUAUGUUUUUUGUAUUGGUGGGGUGUUGAGGAACACGCCAGCUAAAUUGAGUUAGGUGUUGCAGCACAUUCUAAUAUAUUUUGCAUUUUGAUCACUAGAAACCAUAUUUCAACAAAUUUCGGGUUCCUAGGAUUCGAACCCGAGAUUGUCGAGUCAAAGAAACUCUUUAACAUGAUAAGUUACCGACUCUCACGAACAUGUGUUAGGUGUAGUGUUCUAGUAAGGUUUCAUUUUUAGCCCGAUGACACUAUUUUGAACCAGUUGAGCCUCGUGACAUGAUAAGUUACCAACUCUCCUUAGACGUGUGUCUCGUUCCUACGGGUAUAAAUUAUAGGCUAUAACUAUAUUUGUCCUAAAGCUCCUUCCACAAAAUUGACUUAUAUCAUUCUGAAGAAUCUUUGUCAAGUCAAAUAAUUUCGCUGUCGUGCCACCCCACCGUCCUGCCUAGAUAUAGAAAGAACCUGUGUCUGUUGCACUCGACAAGACGCCGCUGGAUACCAAAUCUUAAUGCCUAAACAGUGUUGCUUCUUCAUUGACAAAGUGACAAGCAAUGGUCUAAAGAAGGAUCGAACGAGUUUCCUGUUAGUUGAUAACAUCGUAUAGUUGUAGAGGUCUGAAAUUUACAACAAAAUAUAUCAUACAAUGAUUCAUGUUAUUAAAUUAUCAUUCUGUUGUGUUUAGGAAUAUCCAUGUCUUCAGAGUUCAGAUAUCUUCCUUCGGGAUUUGGAAAUAUCGCAUGCUACAGCAUGAUAAUUUACGUACAGAUAGACAAUCCCGAGACCCCUCCCUGAAAUUUACGUAUAUUUUCAGUUUAUAGUGUUAAGUAUGAUUGAGCACAGUAGACAAAAACAGAUAGACAAUCCCGAGACCCCUCCCUGAACCGAGUUUUGAUAACAUAUAGUUCAUAUGAAAAUAAUGGUUGAACAUUUCAGAUUUGUGGUAAAAUUGUGCAGGUUGCAUUUGUCCGUGGGGAUUGAAUAUGGGUCCAUCUGUAUGAUACACGUGCUGGGAUCAUGCCAGCGAAACCAAGCUAUAUCAGAAUCUUAUCUUCCUGGCUUUAAACAAGUUGAUCGUGAUCUGCCAUGCACAACUUAUUUUGGUUUCAGCCAUCAGUGUGGUAAGAAGAGUGGAGGGAGGAUGGAGCUGCGACACAUUAUUAUGGAUCUUAUGAUCAAUCCUUCAGAUAAUAAGUUUUCCGGUAGAGUGAUGGUGAUCUGAAGAGGCUCUUGAGAGAACAGAAACAAUGGAAUGAAGAGCAUUUGAUGCUAUUAUCGACUUUAUCUGGCCCCUUUUCGGUAGAGGCCCUCUGCUACUUCUGGUACUCUUUGCACUUGCUGCUUUCCUCAUCCUGCUUUCCAUUGUUUUUAUCAAGAAUUUAAUGUCUGAAAACUGAUGGUGGUUUGUAUUGCUUUGAUGAAGAGAGAUGACUUGCUUUGCUCUUUUCCUAAUGGGGGGUUUAUAUAGCACAUUAGAAUACCAGUGGCUGGCGAAAAGUUGAUAGUAUAAGACAGAUUAAAUAAUUGCAGUCUAUGUUUCUUUUGUUGGUGAUUGAAGAACAUGACAGCUAAUUUAGCACAUUCAAGCAUUUUUUACUAUUGAAGAAUGGAUGACAGGAGUCUAUCUUUGAGGCAAGACUCAUUUUAGUGUCUGGAUUAAAUAUUCGAGAAUAUUAGAGUCUCUAGACAAGACUCUGUUGGUUCAAAAGAGCUCUGAUAUCAUGUUAAAAUCAACAGAGGCAUGAGAUCUUUCUCAGUCAGCUCAGUGCAGCUUAAGGACAGAGGAUUGUUCGUGGCACAACUUCCUUAAGAUAUAUUCAUGACAUGGCUACUCAAAUCGGAACUACCAAGGAAGCAGAAAAAUUUCUGAAUGCACAUGCUUAUGAUAUCUCAACACAUGGCUGAUAACAUGUGCUUUGUCGAAGGUACGGAUGCAGACAUGCAGAGUGCAGACGGCUUUAGCACAUGUAACAUGCACUACUGCAAGAAUAUCAUUACGGAUUUGAUAAUGUUUGCAGGCUGCAGCGGUAAGCCUAGUUUUUUAACUAGAAAAUCUUAUCGAUGUCUCAACAAUUCAACAAUUGUAUCACAGUGUCGAGGAUCAUGCCAGCGAAGAUGUUCUGAUCCACACAUUCUUUUCCCAGCACAACAGAUCAGUCUCUCAAGAAUACAGUUUUCUAGUGGUGUGAUGGUGAUCCGACGAGGCUCUUAAGAGAACGGAAACAAUAGAAUGAAGAGCAUUUGACGCUAUCAAGGACUUUAUCUGGCCCCUUCUCGUAAGGAGUUUAUAUAGCGCACGACAGAAGCUAAAUCCAAAUUAAGUCGCGAUAUCAAACAGAAUAAUUUCAUUUGCAGUCUGUUCUUCUUUUAAUGGCGCCUUGGCGGGGGUUGAGGAACAUGCCAGCUGAUUAUGUUAUGAGCUGCAGCAUAUUUUAUCAGUGUUGGGAUUUAUAGCCCAUUUCGGAACAACAUUAUUGAGACCUGAAGAAUAUUUGAAUUCUGGUAUCGUGACUGCAGAGGCAAAAGAUCAAUAAAAUGUUACCUGUAUCAUGCUGUUAAGAGUUGUCCCACGUCGGUUGUGAGAAGGCAGAUAACUAAAAUAUAAGCAGGAAGGCUUUGUCGACGAGAUAUCUAUCUUGUCACAUGGCUAAGAAUUUCUGCAGUGUCGGACGCACAGAAUUGCGGAUUCAGGCGGCUUGGGCACAUGGAAAUAUGAAAUGUGCAUUACUGUAAUAAAAUCAGUAUGCACUGAUGAACCCUGGUUUUAAAUACUAAACAAUCUUAUUGAUCUCGCAGUUGUGGUUUUAACAUGUCGCAUUGUGACUUGCAAGAUUACAAACUCCUUGAGAACAAAAAACAUAAUAAUUCGAGUGUCGUUUUUUAAUUGGUGAGAAACAGACAGGGGAGGAUCGUGUUAGUGGAAAUUUGUUUUGCUGUAAAGAUUGUUUCCUUCUGGUGACGGAACCGGGCGGGGCUAAUUCGAGGAGUCCAGCCCAAGCGGAAAUAUAAUAUCCAUCUUUAGGUAUUUA